rfam:Micromonospora lupini str. Lupac 08 genomic scaffold, 1951_scaffold4
GCGCCGCUAGCUCAACUGGCAGAGCAGCGGACUCUUAAUCCGCGGGUUCGGGGUUCGAGUCCCUGGCGGCGCA